rnacentral:tRNA from 1 species
GAGGGUAUAGCUCAGUGGUAGAGAGUGUGCUUAGUAUGCACAAGGUCCUGGGUUCAAUCCCUGGUACCUCCA